rnacentral:rRNA from 1 species
CACGAACGCUGGCGGCAGGCUUAACACAUGCAAGUCGAGCGCCCCGCAAGGGGAGCGGCAGACGGGUGAGUAACGCGUGGGAAUCUACCCAUCUCUACGGAAUAACGCAUGGAAACGUGUGCUAAUACCGUAUACGUCCUUCGGGAGAAAGAUUUAUCGGAGAUGGAUGAGCCCGCGUUGGAUUAGCUAGUUGGUGGGGUAAAGGCCUACCAAGGCGACGAUCCAUAGCUGGUCUGAGAGGAUGAUCAGCCACACUGGGACUGAGACACGGCCCAGACUCCUACGGGAGGCAGGAGUGGGGAAUAUUGGACAAUGGGCGCAAGCCUGAUCCAGCCAUGCCGCGUGGGUGAUGAAGGCCCUAGGGUUGUAAAGCUCUUUCACCGGUGAAGAUAAUGACGGUAACCGGAGAAGAAGCCCCGGCUAACUUCGUGCCAGCCGCCGCAGUAAAAC